UUCACUCUACAACCCUUGCUUUUGGGAUCCAGGAGGAACCUUUCCAAAAAGGGUUUUUGGUUUGUUUUUUUUGUUUUGCCUUCAUGGAGUGACCUGAGCCAAGGGCUUCAACAUGAGAACCUGGGGUGGAGGACACAAACAUUUGGUUCAUAACAUCUGACAUGGCUUUCUUGAGACCAGAACCAGCUCAUGAAAAGAGUCCAAUCAGAUGAAAAUGCUAAAGCUUGGAGAGUUUGAACCCCUUGCCUGAGGUCCUCAAGUGGUGGAGCUGGAAUUCAAACCGCAGGCAUCCAACUCCAGAGUCCUCAGUCAUAACUGAUCUGUGAUAUUGACUCUAUUCUAAUAAACAACUUUAACAAAA